GACGAACGCUGGCGGCGUGCUUAACACAUGCAAGUCGAGCGGAGCGGCGAACGGGUGAGUAACGCGUGAGUAACUGCCCCCCUCUCUGGGAUAACAGUUGGAAACGGCUGCUAAUACCGGAUAGUGGGGGAUGACUCGCGUCCUAUCAGCUUGUUGGUGGGGUAGUGGCCUACCAAGGCGACGACGGGUAGCCGGCCUGAGAGGGCGACCGGCCACAUUGGGCUGAGAUAUGGCCCAAACUCCUACGGGGGGCAGAAGGGGGGAAUAUGGCACAAGGGGGGAAACGUGGAGGCAGAAACGCCGCGUGGGGGAGGACGGCCUUGGGGUUGUAAACCGCUUUCAGCAAUGACGCGGUAGUGGCAGAAGAAGAACCGGCUAACUACGUGCCAGCAGCCGCGGUAAUAC
rnacentral:rRNA from 1 species